AGAGUUUGAUCAUGGCUCAGGAUGAACGCUAGCGGCAGGCUUAAUACAUGCAAGUCGAGGGGCAGCAGGAGUGUAGCAAUACACUUGCUGGCGACCGGCAAACGGGUGCGGAACACGUACGCAACUUACCCUGAACUGGGGCAUAGCCCGGGGAAACCCGGAUUAAUACCCCGUACCACUUAGAGGUGGCAUCACCUUUUAGUGAAAGCUUUAUUGUGGUUCAGGAUGGGCGUGCGGCUGAUUAGGUAGUUGGUUUUGGGGUAACGGCCCACCAAGCCUACGAUCAGUAACUGGUGUGAGAGCACGACCAGUCACACGGGCACUGAGACACGGGCCCGACUCCUACGGGAGGCAGCAGUAAGGAAUAUUGGGCAAUGGAGGCAACUCUGACCCAGCCAUGCCGCGUGGAGGAUGAAGGCCCUCUGGGUUGUAAACUUCUUUUACCUGGGACGAAACCACCUUAUUCUUAGGGUGUUGACGGUACCAGGGGAAUAAGCACCGGCUAACUCCGUGCCAGCAGCCGCGGUAAUACGGAGGGUGCAAGCGUUAUCCGGAUUCACUGGGUUUAAAGGGUGCGUAGGCGGACAGGUAAGUCCGUGGUGAAAUCUCCGAGCUUAACUCGGAACUGCCAUGGAUACUAUUUGUCUUGAAUGCUGUGGAGGUGAGCGGAAUAUGUCAUGUAGCGGUGAAAUGCUUAGAUAUGACAUAGAACACCAAUUGCGAAGGCAGCUCACUGCACAGUGAUUGACGCUGAGGCACGAAAGCGUGGGGAUCAAACAGGAUUAGAUACCCUGUAGUCCACGCCCUAAACGAUGGAUACUCGACAUACGUGAUAUGACUAUGUGUGUCUGAGCGAAAGCAUUAAGUAUCCCACCUGGGAAGUACGACCGCAAGGUUGAAACUCAAAGGAAUUGGCGGGGGUCCGCACA
rnacentral:rRNA from 1 species